UGACUGACGACUGGAUAGUGGCGGACGGGUGAGUAACGCGUGAACAAUCUACCCCUAAGACCGGGAUAACACCGGGAAACCGGUGCUAAUACCGGAUGUGCUCACGGUGGGGCAUCCUGCUGUGAGGAAAGGGUUUACCGCUUAGGGAUGAGUUCGCGUCCCAUUAGCUAGUUGGUGAGGUAACGGCUCACCAAGGCGACGAUGGGUAGCCGGCCUGAGAGGGUGGACGGCCACACUGGGACUGAGACACGGCCCAGACUCCUACGGGAGGCAGCAGUGGGGAAUAUUGCGCAAUGGGGGAAACCCUGACGCAGCGACGCCGCGUGAGCGACGAAGGCCUUCGGGUCGUAAAGCUCUGUCAUAAGGGACGAAGUCCCCUUUAUGGGGGUGACGG
rnacentral:rRNA from 1 species